rnacentral:rRNA from 1 species
UAUCUCUGUAGAGUCUGCAUAUCAAUAAGCGGAGGAAAAGAAACUAACAAGGAUUCCCUUAGUAACGGCGAGUGAAGCGGGAAGAGCUCAAAUUUGAAAUCUUCAAGGUUCUACCUUGACGAAUUGUAGUUUAAAGAAGUGUUUUCUGUUAGAUGAGUAGCAAAAGUUCCUUGGAAUGGGACAUCAUAGAGGGUGAGAAUCCCGUAUUUGGUUAUUCAUUCUAGCUUUGUGAUACACUUUCAAAGAGUCGGAUUGUUUGGGAAUGCAGUCCAAAAUGGGUGGUAAAUCUCAUCUAAAGCUAAAUAUUGGCGAGAGACCGAUAGCGAACAAGUACCGUGAGGGAAAGAUGAAAAGAACUUUGAAAAGAGAGUUAAACAGUACGUGAAAUUGUCAAAAGGGAAGCGUUUGACACCAGUGUUGUUUUUCCGAAAAUCAAUUACGAAUGGUUUGAUUUUGUAGUAGUUAUGACCUUCAUCAGCUUGCUCACUUUCUUUAUGAAGUCUUUCUUAAUGCACUUUUUCGGUUAACAAGUCAACAUCAAUUUCUUUUGUUGUAAAAGGGUAUUAGGAAGGUGGCUUUCUUUUCGGAGAAAGUGUUUAUAGCCUUAAUGCCUCUACAAUCGGAGAGAUUGAGGUCUGCAGCGUAGAUCCUUCGGGGUUAGAUACACUUUGUGCUAAGUUGAUAGCUUUUCAUAGACAACUUGUUGACUAUGUUUAGUCAUUGUAGGCUUACUCGCUGACUGCUAUUUUACCUACGCUAGGAUGUUGACUGAUAUGUAGUCGUA